rnacentral:rRNA from 1 species
UACGUAGGGAGCGAGCGUUGUCCGGAUUCAUUGGGCGUAAAGAGCUCGUAGGCGGCCUGUCGCGUCGGCUGUGAAAACCCGAGGCUCAACCUCGGGCCUGCAGUCGAUACGGGCAGGCUAGAGUUCGGUAGGGGAGACUGGAAUUCCUGGUGUAGCGGUGAAAUGCGCAGAUAUCAGGAGGAACACCGGUGGCGAAGGCGGGUCUCUGGGCCGAAACUGACGCUGAGGAGCGAAAGCGUGGGGAGCGAACAGG